rnacentral:rRNA from 1 species
CCUACGGGGGGCAGCAGUGGGGAAUAUUGGACAAUGGGGGGAACCCUGAUCCAGCCAUGCCGCGUGUGUGAAGAAGGCCCUCGGGUUGUAAAGCACUUUCAGUGAGGAAGAACGCCUGGUGGUUAAUACCCAUCAGGAAAGACAUCACUCACAGAAGAAGCACCGGCUAACUCCGUGCCAGCAGCCGCGGUAAUACGGAGGGUGCGAGCGUUAAUCGGAAUUACUGGGCGUAAAGCGCGCGUAGGUGGCUUGAUAAGCCGGUUGUGAAAGCCCCGGGCUCAACCUGGGAACGGCAUCCGGUCCUGUGAGGCUGAUGGGCAGGAGAGGGAGGCAGGAUGCCCGGGGCAGCGGUGACUUGCGCAGAGAGCGGGAGGAGGGGCGGUGACGAGGGCCUCCAUAGGGACUGACGAUGACACUGAGGUGCUAACGCUUGGCUAGCAAGCAGGAUUCGACAAACUGGUACUC